rnacentral:pre_miRNA from 1 species
AGCACAAUUGCUGGAUAGUAUGGUAAGCCUAUAUUUAGCUUUGUAAGAAACUGCCAAAUUAUCUUCCAAAGUGGCUGUACCAUUUUUCAUUCCCAUCAGCAAU